rnacentral:snRNA from 15 species
AUACUUACCUAGACAGGGUCUAUGGGAGAUCAAUAAGGCCUAUGGCCUAGUUUGACGGCCCACAUGGCACUUAGCAGGUGCGUCAGUCUAACAUCUCCUUAUUGGAGAGUGUACAUCAUAAUUUUCUUAAAAGGGUCACAACAUUGGACUUU